UUAAAUAAGUCAAUCCACACAUGCUCUAAGUACAAACCAUGAAUACUAAAUUGGAUAUAAAUUUAGAAAAAAAGGAAAGCAUAUAAAUUUAGACUUGGAAAUCAAAUCAAAACAAACUUUGCACCCAAACUCAUUCUUUUUCAAAUAACAACAAUCUACAUGAUAAAAAGAACUCAAAACCCAAAAUUGACUAAAAAAAGAAAAAAUUAAAACCACAAGUUUGACUUCCUUUCCUUCAUAAACUUUAGCAUGAGCACCUUCUCCAAUCUUAGGACCAACAAACAAUUGUUUAGGAUCUAUAAUUCACUUAGCAUCUAAACUAAACUCACCAACAGAAUGAACUUCAUUACCAGAUCCCAUUUUUCAAUUUCUCUCUCAGACAAUAUAUCAAACACCUAGCACUCAACAACACUCACCAAAAAAAGAAAAAACCAACCAUACCCUUUUCAAAAAAACCUUCAACAAAUUCAAUAAUAGUUACGUUUAAAACUCCAAAAAUCAAUCAACCACAUGAAAUUCAUAGGUACGUUACGGUGCGUUUCCGAGCAUCAGCCGAAAAACCUCAUACUCCACUGUAUAUAAAAAACCUAAGCUAGUGAACGGUGAUUGAAUACAUACCGGAACGGAAUUAGCGGUGAGUGUGUUGGCGGAAAAGAGCGGCGAGCCACGAAGCGUUGGAAGAUGAGCUGAGGUGUGGAAGCAGCGGAAACCGAAAGUGGCGCGUGGAUUGAAAAUUGGGCGGUGAAUGGUGAGAGUUGAAGGUGGUGGGUGGUGAAUGAUGGUGGUGGAAUGAUGUUGAGAAUUGAAGCUAGAAUAUUUUCAUGGAGGUGCGGCUGUGAGUGAGAAAACAAAAAAAUGCUUACUGGUAUUGGGUGUGAGUGAGAGAACAGAAUGAAAUUUGGCUGCUGGAAAACCCUAGGAGGGUAUCUCAAUUGGGCGGGUUAGGGUAUCCGCGGUUCAGAAUUUUGAACUCGACCCGCCCAUAUAAACCCAAUUAAAACUGCUAUAUUUCAAUCACUGAUCCGAUAGACCGUUUGAACCCGCCCAUUUCGGUUUUCUUUUUCGGUUACCGGCGGAUUUGGCCGGGUGAACGGUUCUUGUCCACCCCUAAUUAUAGGUUCCAAAGGAGGUCAGAAGAGUGAAGAACAUAGAGAAGAAGAUAGUAGUACUAAUGAAUUUAGAAUGAGAAGGAAC
rnacentral:lncRNA from 1 species